rnacentral:lncRNA from 1 species
GUGUGCGUGCGGGUGGGGUGGGCUGGGGUGGCAGCGGGGAGGGGGUGUCCUCCCCUCCCCUCCCCUCCCCUCCCCUGGGGCCCGCCCCCACCUCUGCCCCGCGCUAGGCAGGAGGGCGGGGCGCCCGGCGAGGGGCUCAGGCGCGGCGGCGGCUGUCACUCACGCACUCACGCGGGAGGAAUGCAGACGGCAGGGCUGCCCUGUGGUCACGUCUCCGCCCCACCGACGGAGGCGCUGCUCCCAUGGGGAUGGUCAGCCAGCCGAGGCCCCUGCUUCAUCACUUGCUGUCUGCUGGAGAACAUCAAACAGUUCGGAACUGGGUCCGUCUUGGUCAUCUUUCGCCCUUGAUUCUGAAUUUCUCUUAUUUUAGCUGUAUGUCCUCCUACCUCAUCUUGGAGAGAAGAUUCUAGAGACCGUGGAGAAAAGGAGAAAAAACUUUCUUCCUAAAUAUCCCUCUUAACCUUUCUUCACCAUUCAACACCCAUACCUACGUCUCUGUCCAGGCUUUCAUCUUUUCUUACCCCAAAAUUAUUUCAACAGGACCCCUGAAAAGUCCCCCCAGACUCCUUAUUUCCCUCUAAUCUAUUCCCCAGAACUUCCAUUGUCAUCUUGCUAAUGUGAGGAUGUAACCAUGCCAUGUCUCUGUUCAACACCCUUCAAUGCAGUACUGCCCUUAGAGCCAGCAAGAGGGCCCCCUGCUCCAAGACCCUCAAAACAUGAAUACGACACUGGUGCAACGUUUGCUGAAACACGCUUGGAUGCCUAGAUGAUGCAGGAUCUGGUCCUGAGUGCUGCCUGGCACAACCCAGAACUUUAAACAUCUGCUCUUGUGAUUAACACGGAUCACACCAGGAUGGUCUUGCUCUAAGAUCGUGAAGCAAAAAGCAGCUGUGUCUGUAUGCCAUCCCAACGUUACUCUACGAGUGACGUCAGUGAACGCUGUGCAAGUGCUCAGGCGAAAUGAAAAGGAAAUGGAUGUACUUGCUAAAUCCUUCCUUGCAGCUAGCAUACAUGCAAUGUUAUUUUAAAGAAAAAAUUCAAGAAUAAUGCAACGGAUUCUUUUUUUUUUUCGCAAUGGAUUCUUAUGUAAUAAAAUUUCCUGGUAGUAUUAACCAUCCAUGUUCCUGCUUCUGUCUGAGUUACAGAAGUACACAAAAAUUGGCAUAAUAUUAAAAACAGAUGCACAUUGCAGGUGAGAAAUAUUUUAUUUUACUAAAUAAUUUAACAAUUUACAUAAAUGUAAGUCUAGGUGUACCACAUGUGAAAUUUGAUAGUGAAUCUUUAUAUUGGUAAUUCAAUGGGCACUGAACAUUGGAAUUACAAAACAUUAUAUCUUAUAAAAAU